AGUAAGAAGUACCUUAGUAGUAUUGCAAUAGACAAAGAGUAACUAAUAAUAACAAUAAAAAUAGAAAAUAAAUAUAAAAAAUAUAAUAAAGUAAGUAAAAAAGAAAAAUUAAAUAAAAAACUAAAAGGAAAAUAAAAAUAAAAAAGGAAAAACUAAACUAACUAAGAAAUAAAAACAACUAAAAUUUAAAUUUAAACCUAAAAAUAAAAA
rnacentral:lncRNA from 1 species